rfam:Bombyx mori DNA, contig: Bm_scaf42_contig23793, strain: p50T/Dazao, build 2, whole genome shotgun sequence.
UUAACUCAAAUUUGUAUGGAGUUGGAACGUUUGCUUACGUUUGCUAGGGGCGCUGUUCCAACUCCAUAUAAAAUUGAGUUA